rnacentral:rRNA from 1 species
AGUGAACGCUGGCGGUAGGCCUAACACAUGCAAGUCGAACGGCAGCACAGUAAGAGCUUGCUCUUACGGGUGGCGAGUGGCGGACGGGUGAGGAAUACAUCGUAAUCUACUUUUUCGUGGGGGAUAACGUAGGGAAACUUACGCUAAUACCGCAUACCACCUACGGGUGAAAGCAGUGGAUCUUCUGACCUUGCGCGAUUGAAUGAGCCGAUGUCGGAUUAGCUAGUUGGCGGGGUAAAGGCCCACCAAGGCGACGAUCCGUAGCUGGUCUGAGAGGAGGAUCAGCCACACUGGAACUGGGACACGGUCCAGACUCCUACGGGACGCAGCAGUGGGGAAUAUUGGACAGUGGGCGCAAGCAUGAUCCAGCCAUACCGAGUGGGUGAAGAAGGCCUUCGGGUUGGAAAGCCCGUUUGUUGGGAAAGAAAAGCAGCAGGUUAAUACCCAGCUGUUCUGACGGUAACCAAAGAAGAAGCACCGGCUAACUUCGUG